rnacentral:rRNA from 1 species
GGUCUUAGCUUGCUAAGGCCGAUGGCGACCGGCGCACGGGUGAGUAACGCGUAUCCAACCUGCCUUACACUCUUGGACAGCCUUCUGAAAGGGAGAUUAAUACAAGAUGUUAUCAUGAGUAAGCAUUUUCGCAUGAUUAAAGGUUUACCGGUGUAAGAUGGGGAUGCGUUCCAUUAGAUAGUAGGCGGGGUAACGGCCCACCUAGUCUUCGAUGGAUAGGGGUUCUGAGAGGAAGGUCCCCCACAUUGGAACUGAGACACGGUCCAAACUCCUACGGGAGGCAGCAGUGAGGAAUAUUGGUCAAUGGACGAGAGUCUGAACCAGCCAAGUAGCGUGAAGGAUGAAGGUUCUAUGGAUUGUAAACUUCUUUUAUACGGGAAUAAACGGAUCCACGUGUGGAUUUUUGCAUGUACCGUAUGAAUAAGGAUCGGCUAACUCCGUGCCAGCAGCCGCGGUAAUACGGAGGAUCCGAGCGUUAUCCGGAUUUAUUGGGUUUAAAGGGAGCGUAGAUGGGUUGUUAAGUCAGUUGUGAAAGUUUGCGGCUCAACCGUAAAAUUGCAAUUGAUACUGGCAGUCUUGAGUACAGUUGAGGUAGGCGGAAUUCGUGGUGUAGCGGUGAAAUGCUUAGAUAUCACGAAGAACUCCGAUUGCGAAGGCAGCUUACUAACCUGUAACUGACAUUGAUGCUCGAAAGUGUGGGUAUCAAACAGGAUUAGAUACCCUGGUAGUCCACACGGUAAACGAUGAAUACUCGCUGUAGGCGAUAUACAGUCUGCGGCCAAGCGAAAGCAUUAAGUAUUCCACCUGGGGAGUACGCCGGCAACGGUGAAACUCAAAGGAAUUGACGGGGGCCCGCACAAGCGGAGGAACAUGUGGUUUAAUUCGAUGAUACGCGAGGAACCUUACCCGGGCUUAAAUUGCA